GACGAACGCUGGCGGCGUGCCUAAUACAUGCAAGUAGAACGCACAGUUUAUACCGUAGCUUGCUACACCAUAGACUGUGAGUUGCGAACGGGUGAGUAACGCGUAGGUAACCUGCCUGGUAGCGGGGGAUAACUAUUGGAAACGAUAGCUAAUACCGCAUAAUAUUAAUUAUUGCAUGAUAAUUGAUUGAAAGAUGCAACUGCAUCACUACCAGAUGGACCUGCGUUGUAUUAGCUAGUAGGUGAGGUAACGGCUCACCUAGGCGACGAUACAUAGCCGACCUGAGAGGGUGAUCGGCCACACUGGGACUGAGACACGGCCCAGACUCCUACGGGAGGCAGCAGUAGGGAAUCUUCGGCAAUGGACGAAAGUCUGACCGAGCAACGCCGCGUGAGUGAAGAAGGUUUUCGGAUCGUAAAGCUCUGUUGUAAGAGAAGAACGGGUGUGAGAGUGGAAAGUUCACACUGUGACGGUAUCUUACCAGAAAGGGACGGCUAACUACGUGC
rnacentral:rRNA from 1 species